rnacentral:rRNA from 1 species
GAUGAACGCUAGCGGCAGGCCUAAUACAUGCAAGUCGGACGGGAUCCAUCGGAGAGCUUGCUCGAAGAUGGUGAGAGUGGCGCACGGGUGCGUAACGCGUGAGCAACCUACCUCUAUCAGGGGGAUAGCCUCUCGAAAGAGAGAUUAACACCGCAUAACAUCAACAGUUCGCAUGUCCGGUUGAUUAAAUAUUUAUAGGAUAGAGAUGGGCUCGCGUGACAUUAGCUAGUUGGUAGGGUAACGGCUUACCAAGGCGACGAUGUCUAGGGGCUCUGAGAGGAGAAUCCCCCACACGGGUACUGAGACACGGACCAGACUCCUACGGGAGGCAGCAGUAAGGAAUAUUGGUCAAUGGGCGGAAGCCUGAACCAGCCAUGCCGCGUGCAGGACGACUGCCCUAUGGGUUGUAAACUGCUUUUGUCCAGGAAUAAACCUAAAUACGUGUAUUUAGCUGAAUGUACUGGAAGAAUAAGGAUCGGCUAACUCCGUGCCAGCCGCCGCCGUAACAC